rnacentral:lncRNA from 1 species
CCUUUCCUGCUUUGGUGUCUCUCCUGCAAGGGCUGCCUCGCUGUCCCUCCUGGGAUCUGGUGAGUCCAUAGCUGUCAACUUUCAGCCUUGAAAAUAAGGGAUCAGCAGCCUCACCUAUCUACCAAUCCGGGAUAGCAGCAGGAAGCAGCGGGAAACGGCGCUGCAAUAAGGGAAUUUCCCGCAAAAAAAGGGAAGGUUGACAGCUAAGG